rnacentral:rRNA from 1 species
AUUGAACGCUGGCGGCAGGCCUAACACAUGCAAGUCGAACGAGUGGCGGACGGGUGAGUAAUGUCUGGGAAACUGCCUGACGGAGGGGGAUAACUACUGGAAACGGUAGCUAAUAACGCAUACCAUCGGAUGUGCCCAGAUGGGAUUAGCUGGUUGGUGGGGUAACGGCUCACAAAGGCGACGAUCCCUAGCUGGUCUGAGAGGAUGACCAGCCACACUGGGACUGCGACACGGUCCAGACUCCUACGGGAGGCAGCAGUGGGGAAUAUUGCACAAGGGGCGCAAGCCUGAUGCAGCCAUGCCGCGUGUAUGAAGAAGGCCUUCGGGUUGUAAAGUACUUUCAGCGGGGAGGCGUUACCCGCAGAAGAAGCACCGGCUAACUCCGUGCCAGCAGCCGCGGUAAUAC